UGCAGUCNACGGUGCACACGGAGCUUGCUCUGUGGGAUCAGUGGCGAACGGGUGAGUAACACGUGAGCAACCUGCCCCUGACUCUGGGAUAAGCGCUGGAAACGGCGUCUAAUACUGGAUACGAGUAGCGACCGCAUGGUCAGUUACUGGAAAGAUUUAUUGGUUGGGGAUGGGCUCGCGGCCUAUCAGCUUGUUGGUGAGGUAAUGGCUCACCAAGGCGUCGACGGGUAGCCGGCCUGAGAGGGUGACCGGCCACACUGGGACUGAGACACGGCCCAGACUCCUACGGGAGGCAGCAGUGGGGAAUAUUGCACAAUGGGCGCAAGCCUGAUGCAGCAACGCCGCGUGAGGGAUGACGGCCUUCGGGUUGUAAACCUCUUUUAGCAGGGAAGAAGCGAAAGUGACGGUACCUGCAGAAAAAGCGCCGGCUAACUACGUGCCAGCAGCCGCGGUAAUACGUAGGGCGCAAGCGUUAUCCGGAAUUAUUGGGCGUAAAGAGCUCGUAGGCGGUUUGUCGCGUCUGCUGUGAAAUCCGGAGGCUCAACCUCCGGCCUGCAGUGGGUACGGGCAGACUAGAGUGCGGUAGGGGAGAUUGGAAUUCCUGGUGUAGCGGUGGAAUGCGCAGAUAUCAGGAGGAACACCGAUGGCGAAGGCAGAUCUCUGGGCCGUAACUGACGCUGAGGAGCGAAAGGGUGGGGAGCAAACAGGCUUAGAUACCCUGGUAGUCCACCCCGUAAACGUUGGGAACUAGUUGUGGGGUCCAUUCCACGGAUUCCGUGACGCAGCUAACGCAUUAAGUUCCCCGCCUGGGGAGUACGGCCGCAAGGCUAAAACUCAAAGGAAUUGACGGGGACCCGCACAAGCGGCGGAGCAUGCGGAUUAAUUCGAUGCAACGCG
rnacentral:rRNA from 1 species